ensembl:lncRNA
UGGAGAAGUGGAGAAAAGAACACUUGAAGGCUAUUUGGGCCCUGAAAGAGCUGCUGGACACUGCCGAAGCCAAACUCAAUGCUCCUGUUCAAGUCUCUUUCCUCAGUGUUAGGGCUUUUCUUCAGGAUGUGGAGGUGAGGAAAGCAAACUGUCAGUUUAACUAUCAAAUGUAAAAGAUAAUAUAGCCUGACAGUAAAAAUACAACCUGUCAGUAAUGUUUUUUUAAGCUGGUGGCAUUGCAGCAUCAUGAUACUUUAGAUUUUCAAUGGGCACCUACACUUACAUACAUACUGUACUUUAUAUUAGACCAUCCCUGAUCACAUCGCUUAGAGUUUGUUUCAAAUCUGUUCUUUCUUAAGCUGGUCGAGAAUGACAAGCCUGACUCUGAAGUGGACCUAAUAUGCAUUUUCUUUUCUUUCUUUCUUUUCCUGUUGUGUUUAUUUGCUGUUACUCAUGGUGGAUACUCAUGUUAAACAUGGCCAAAGUUUCAAAUAUGGAACUAGAUGGAGUUUUUUUUUUUUACUCUUAGCUUUAUGUGAUUUCAAAGAGAAUGGUCAUCACAGCUCUUUUUAGGAACACAGCUGCCCCACACACCAACAGCAGGUGAAACGUAACUGUUUCAAGUCCUUCCAAGCCAUUUUCAGACAUGUAAACUCUCUUUUCCAUGUUAAAGAGGGACUUUUAACAGGACUCUGUGUCAUCCUGUUAUAAGCUAACUUUAGCAGCAAUAAAUUGAAGUAAUUGUUUGUGGUGUGUAUUUGUCGGUACACCUUUUAAGGUCCCAACACGGCAUUUCAGUGGGGUUGUGUUCUGUUCCUUGGGCCAUUAGAACAGUUUCUUUUUCAGUCCUUUUAUUUUAGAUUUGUUGCUGUGCUUGGGGAUCAUUGUCCUGUUGCAUGAGCCAAGAAUGUGUUACUCAGAGGAAUUCAGGGUUGACUUAAUGGCUAUAAGGUGCCCAGAUCCUGUGGCUGUAAAAUGCACGCCCAAAUCAUUCCUCUUCCACCACACUUAAUAGCUGGUGUCAGGUGUUUUGCUUGCA